CAAAUACAAACCCUUUCUCCUUUUCUUUUUCCUUUUCUUCUGAGUUUCCACUCCUUCUUUUCCUUAUCCAUUUCAGAGCUGGUUUUUUCUGUAGAGCACUCAAAUCUCCUGUCUUCUUCUCAAUCGUCUAUGGGUGGCGUGUCUUGUUAAACACUAUUGAUUCAAAUAGUGGUAUUAGUGUUUUGCAAUCAUUCGGGGUUGGCAAAGGCAUAUUCAAUCUAUCAUUUGGUAAUGCGGGUAAAACGUUGGAGCAGAGUUGUAGUCCGCCACUCAACAUACCAAGUACUCGUAUAAAUGCCUCUUCUACUUUAGGUCAAUUUCGUUAUCUACAUAAAACAUCAAGCACACCUCCAACAAGCAUUCUCAGGCCUUUUCACCAGUCUUGCGGCAAUCGGGAAUUUCUUCUUCAAGGAAGUUUCUUUCAGAAUCGUCCUCCGACCAGACACCUGUAGCAAAUCCACCGUCAUGACCUGUUCCGCAAAUAGGCAGUGGAACAACUGAAACCCAAGCGGUGGUCCCUAAACGUGCCAGCCUUCAGGCAGUGUUGAAGGAUAUAAACAGGUUAUACACUCAGCAGUCAGCACGUGCCAAUGCAACCCAUAAUCAUGGGUGGGAUAAAGAUCGUCUCCUAGUUGGUAAGUGCAAGAACUGCUGAUGUUGUAAGAGCGCAAAACCAGCUGUGCUAAUUAUACUUGCCGGUAUUUGUGCGACAGCCGAGGCGUUUGUAGGGAAAGGGUUAUUCAAAAAGAGAGUUUCAUAUCACGCGAAGGGAAGAUCUGGAAUGGAAGUGCGAGCAGAGUGUAGGUUAACUGUCGUCGUCAGGGAGAUGACAGGAAUGGCACCGGGCAUGCUGUUCAUAUCGAGUACAAUGUUCCUGGAGAAACGGUGGAGAAUACAGCCCUGAAAUCUGGCAGAACGCGCUCCUCCUUUUGACUCCAGGGGGUUAGUUUGGAGGCUAUGAUAGCCAGACAAAGAAUACACAAUUUCCACAAGCUCUCGAAGAGGGAGAGGCGAUUGGUUCCACAUAAGCUUAUCGAGACUACUGACUACCCCUUUAUGGGGCCGCAAAAGCAAGCCUAGCAACUCAGAGAAGUGUUCCAUGGCUUGAAGUAGAGUUUUGGAGAAACAAUCUUGUUGCAGAACCAACCACCUUGGUCCAAAAUUCGAUGCUAGAGGUGGACAUUUUUGCUUCGGUUUAUGAUAAGAUGUUUCUGUACCUGGGAUUUAAAUUUGCUAAACAAACUAAGUUGAAGCAAAGGUGGACAUCUAAUUGCUUCACAAAAUUAAGAUCAAUAAGUUUUGUAUUUUUGGGGCCAUUAAUUUUUCUUGUGUUCCUUCUGGAC